UUUCCGGUUGAUCCCGCCGGACCUGACUGCUAUCGGAUUGAUACUAAGCCAUGCGAGUCUUUGUAGUAAUACAAGGCAGACGGCUCAGUAACGCGUAGUCAACCUACCCUAUGGACGGGAAUAAUCUCGGGAAACUGAGCAUAAUACCCGGCGUACCACCAUUCCCGGAAUGGUUGGUGGUUAAAAUGAUUCGUCGCCGUAGGAUGGGACUGCGACCUAUCAGCCUGUUGGUGAGGUAAAGGCCCACCAAGGCGAUUACAGGUACGGGCUCUGAGAGGAGAAGCCCGGAGAUGGGUACUGAGACACGGACCCAGGCCCUAUGGGGCGCAGCAGGCGAGAAAACUUUGCAAUGUGCGAAAGCACGACAAGGUUAAUCCGAGUGAUUUCUGCUAAAGGAAUCUUUUGCCAGUUCUAAAAAUACUAGUGAAUAAGGGGUGGGCAAGUUCUGGUGUCAGCCGCCGCGGUAAAACCAGCACCUCAAGUGGUCAGGAGGAUUAUUGGGCCUAAAGCAUCCGUAGCCUGCUCUGUAAGUUUUCGGUUAAAUCUAUAUGCUCAACAUAUAGGCUGCGAAAAUACUGCAGUGCUAG
rnacentral:rRNA from 1 species